GACAGAGGUGCCAAGUGUUAGGCGGAAUCACUGGGCUUAAAGCGUGUGUAGGUGGAUGCCUAAGUGCCUUGUGAAAUCCCACGGCUCAACCGUGGAAUUGCUGGGCAUACUGGGUGUCUUGAGCCAUCCAGGGGUCGCUGGAACAAACGGUGGAGCGGUGAAAUGCGUAGAUAUCGUUUGGAACGCCAAUGGUGAAAACAGGCGACUGGGGAUGAGCUGACACUGAGACACGAAAGCCAGGGGAGCAAACGGG
rnacentral:rRNA from 1 species